CACUCCUGCGGGAGGCAGCAGUGGGGAAUUUUGGACAAUGGGCGAAAGCCUGAUCCAGCAAUGCCGCGUGAGUGAAGAAGGCCUUCGGGUUGUAAAGCUCUUUUGUCAGGGAAGAAACGGUGAGAGCUAAUAUCUCUUGCUAAUGACGGUACCUGAAGAAUAAGCACCGGCUAACUACGUGCCAGCAGCCGCGGUAAUACGUCGGGUGCAAGCGUUAAUCGGAAUUACUGGGCGUAAAGCGUGCGCAGGCGGUUUUGUAAGUCUGAUGUGAAAUCCCCGGGCUCAACCUGGGAAUUGCAUUGGAGACUGCAAGGCUAGAAUCUGGCAGAGGGGGGUAGAAUUCCACGUGUAGCAGUGAAAUGCGUAGAUAUGUGGAGGAACACCGAUGGCGAAGGCAGCCCCCUGGGUCAAGAUUGACGCUCAUGCACGAAAGCGUGGGGAGCAAACAGGAUUAGAAACCCGAGUAGUCCCAU
rnacentral:rRNA from 1 species